ACACAGAGUACAUCUGGUUGAAAGAGAAAGGGCAGAGCAAAAAGCAGACCUUUUGGAGAAAAAGUUAGCAGGUGCUAAUGGAUUCACUCCUUAUAUGAAUGUGAAAGGACAAGAAGACACCUUGGGUAGUUUCAAGAUAAAGGGAGCUGAUGGCCCUAAGCAGGAAAUUCAGUUGUUCACCAAACGACGGGAGCAGCUGUAUCAUCACCACGAAGAAUCAUCCCAAACUGAAGAAAAGCGUAGGGAACAAAAAAGACCCUUGAAACGUCUGGAGGGAAAAAUUGCUGUUAAUGACUUUUUUCAAGCGAGAUUAGACUCGGGCAGGAAUAAAAGAGAAGAGAGAGGGAGAGAGAUAUAGAAACAUCA